GUUUGAUCCUGGCUCAGGACGAACGCUGGCGGCGUGCCUAAUACAUGCAAGUGGAACGCAUGAUGGAAACCGGAGCUUGCUCCACCAUUCAUCAUGAGUCGCGAACGGGUGAGUAACGCGUAGGUAACCUACCUUCUAGCGGGGGAUAACUAUUGGAAACGAUAGCUAAUACCGCAUGACAAUGAAGUACACAUGUACUUGAUUUAAAAGGAGCAAUAGCUUCACUAGGAGAUGGACCUGCGUUGUAUUAGCUAGUUGGUAGGGGUAACCGGCCUACCAAGGCCUCGAUACAUAGCCGACCUGAGAGGGUGAUCGGCCACACUGGGGACUGGAGACACGGGCCAGACUCCUAC
rnacentral:rRNA from 1 species